CAAAAAGCCGCUACGCAGUGCUGCGCGGCCGCCUCGCCACGGGGUCCUCCCGUAUCCCAGCAGCCAGCGCAGCCCCAGUCGGUGACAAAGGACUAGAGGAGAAGCGUCGUUGUCCCCGCCUAGCAGGGGGAGGGAUCGAGCCGGAGGAGCCGCGUUCGUCGCCGAGGAAGACUGGAAAAUGCUUUGGGGUUUUUAACUGAAUUGGAGAAGAGAAUCGCGAGGGGCAGUGAGGCGGCGGCGGCCCGGGAGCUCCGCGCCAAUGCAGCAGCCACCACGGCAGCCCGAGUUAGGGGAAGGCAAUCUUCCUGUGUUCGUGUUCCCUACGGAGCUGAUCUUUUAUGCGGACGACCAGUCCACCCACAAGCAGGUGCUGACUCUCUAUAAUCCUUACGAGUUUGCCUUAAAGUUCAAAGUGCUGUGCACCACCCCCAUCAAGUACGUGGUGGUGGACGCCGCGGGGGCAGUGAAACCUCAGUGCUGCGUGGACAUCGUCAUUCGUCACAGAGAUGUCCGGCCCUGUCACUAUGAUGUAAUAGACAAAUUCCGGCUUCAAGUUUCGGAACAAAGCCAGGGGAAGCCUUUAGGGCGCAAAGAGAUUAUUGCGACCCUUCUGCCGUCGGCUAAAGAACAGCGAAAGGAAGAAGAGGAAAAAAGGUUAAAGGAACACUUGGCAGAAAGUGUCUUUUUUGAGCAGAUGCUGUGUCAAACGGAAAACAGGACUGGCUCAUCGGGACCUAGUUUAUUAACUGUCUUCCUGGGAAUAGUGUGCAUUGCAGCUCUGAUGCUUCCCACACUGGGAGAAGUAGAAUCUCUAGUGCCUCACUACUUCCAUUUAAGUGUGAAUCAAAAAUUAGUGGCUGCUUAUGUUUUAGGUCUUAUCACUAUGGUUAUACUUAGAAUAUGAGCAAGGACUGAAAUUGACUGAAAUCAUUUCACCUUCAUAUCAUCAUCAUGAAUGUGGACUGCCCUUUAUUCCCACUUGACCCUAUGCUACAGAAAAACUUGGGGUGAGGAUUUUGAAAGCUGUGUAAAAGAUGGAUUGAAGAGAUGAGAAGAUUAUCAAUGGAAGCCAUUUAAUAAGAUACUGCCACAGACUAGGAAAAAGAUGAAGACUUCAACUUAAGUGGUAGCCAUAAAGCAAAUGAAAGAUCCAAGCAUCUUGAAGAAGAAAGAUAAUAACAGUUAAAGUUUAUAUGUAAGCAUAAUAUUUUCCAAGAUAUGCUAUGGAAGCAUACUCUGAAAAUUAACUGAAAUGAAGGGAACUGCUUUGGGGAAUGAAAGGAGUUAAAGGGAGGAUCAGCUGGAUUUUAGAUUUUAACAGUCAUUGUUUAGAUCCUGUUAGGUUUUAGGUUUUUCCACAUUCCUAACAGAAUGAAUUGCUCAUGUGUAGAGCCAAGAUUUACACUAAGUAUAUAUAUAAGACUUUUAAACCAGGUAUUUUUCAGAUGUGGGCAAGCCUUGAAACACUGAUGGUAUCACUGCUAAAUCUCUGCCAUUGAUAAUACUAAAAUGCAGGCAUAAUUACAACUAUUGGCCAACUAGUCUUCUGGAACUGGUUUUUUCCACUGUCCUAGACCUGGAGAAAGGCUUCUACAUAUUUUAUCUCCAAGAUUUAAUGCAGGAGCUUGGGGCAGGACCCUGUUCCUCUCACAAACUGUCCGCUUCACCAAAGCAUCUACUUUUAUUGUUCACUGCUGGGUUUUUAUUCACCAGAACUAGAUCCUACUCAGCUUCCAGAAGAAAUUGGUCCCUUUCAUUUACCAACACCACAACAAUAAUAAAACCAUAUUUAAACAAUGCAUUCCAAGACAACUCUGCCCGGAAGGACUCCCUGCAGUAUCGAGGGAGCUUCGCAGGACUGCCUCUCCUAUGGCCACUAAUUUAGCCCUAGCUUUUGACCUGAGUAACAGAUGGAAAAAAGUUGAGCACAUCAUAUGAUGCACCAUAUGGCUUCUCUCAUCUUUUACAGUUAACUAAGAUGGUGGUACAAGGAAAAAUGCACUGGACUAGGAGUCAAAAGACCCAUACUCUGAUACUGUUCCGCUACUAUCUAGCUGUAUGACCCUGGACAAAUCACUUCUCUCUAGGCCUCUGUCUCUUCUAUAAAACGAGGGCAUAAGGACCAAAUGCUCUGAUGUCCUAAGAGCCCAUCCUGUUCUGACAUCAGAUGAUUCUAUGAAUUGCACCUGGGCCACCAACAGCCUUUUCUGAAGAUGUCACAUCCCAUCAAGACAUACAACAUAAAUGAUUGUAUUUAAGGUACUCUCAAUACUUCAAUAAACAGUGAAAUUUUUUUAAAAAGACAUACAAGAUAAA